rnacentral:rRNA from 1 species
AGAGUUUGAUCAUGGCUCAGGACGAACGCUGGCGGCAGGCUUAACACAUGCAAGUCGAGCGCCCCGCAAGGGGAGCGGCAGACGGGUGAGUAACGCGUGGGAACGUGCCUUUCAGUUCGGAAUAAGCCGGGGAAACCUGGUCUAAUACCGGAUACGCCCUUAGGGGGAAAGAUUUAUCGCUGAAAGAUCGGCCCGCGUCAGAUUAGGUAGUUGGUGGGGUAAUGGCCUACCAAGCCGAUGAUCUGUAGGUGGUCUGAGAGGACGAUCACCCACACUGGGACUGAGACACGGCCCAGACUCCUACGGGAGGCAGCAGUGGGGAAUAUUGGACAAUGGGCGAAAGCCUGAUCCAGCCAUGCCGCGUGGAUGAAGAAGGCCCUAGGGUUGUAAAGUCCUUUCGGUGGUGAAGAUAAUGACGGUAACCACAUAAGAGCCCG